GAUGAACGCUGGCGGCGUGCUUAACACAUGCAAGUCGAACGAAGCAUUUGCGACAGAUUUUUUCGGAAUGAAGUUGCUUAUGACUGAGUGGCGGACGGGUGAGUAACGCGUGGGUAACCUGCCUUGUACUGGGGGAUAGCAGCUGGAAACGGCUGGUAAUACCGCAUAAGCGCACAAUGUUGCAUGACAUGGUGUGAAAAACUCCGGUGGUAUAAGAUGGACCCGCGUCUGAUUAGCUAGUUGGUGAGAUAACAGCCCACCAAGGCGACGAUCAGUAGCCGACCUGAGAGGGUGACCGGCCACAUUGGGACUGAGACACGGCCCAGACUCCUACGGGGGGCAGCAGUGGGGAAUAUUGCACAAUGGAGGAAACUCUGAUGCAGCGACGCCGCGUGAGUGAAGAAGUAAUUCGUGAUGUAAAGCUCUAUCAGCAGGGAAGAUAGUGACGGUACCUGACGAAGAAGCUCCGGCUAAAUACGUG
rnacentral:rRNA from 1 species